rfam:Medicago truncatula strain A17 chromosome 5, whole genome shotgun sequence.
UCGGGGCAAAUAGUGAGUAGCCGAUUUGGGGAAGUGAUCAACCCCUAGGAUAAGUUUAAAUUUGUUUUUUUUACCCCAGAGACUUUUUACCGUGGCUAAAAAGAUCUUCUUGGGGGUAUAAAAAGAACCAUAUUUAAAUUUAGCCCAAGGGUUGAUGAUGUAUUUUCCUCAAGAAGGUUGCUCACUAUUUUACCCCAA